AGUUUCUUGUUUUUUUGUAAGAAAUGUUUUCUGCUCAGCGAUAAUAAACAGCCGCGGUAAUUUGACCGUGCGAAGGUAGCAUAAUCAUUUGCCUUGUAAUUUGAGGCUGGAAUGAAUGGCAGAACAAAGGAUUGACUUUUUUCUUUUUUUAUUUAGAAUUUGUUUUAUACGUGAAGAAACGUAUUUAUAGUAAAGGGACAAGAAGACCCUUUUGAGCUUUACUUAAUUAUUUUUUUUUUAAAAUUUUAUUAAGUUUGGUUGGGGCGACCAAGGAAGAUAAAAUCUUCCUUAUAUAUAAUAUUUUAAUAUUUUGGGUUAUGAAUUUAGAAUAAGUUACCAAAGGGAUAACAGCGUAAUUUUUUCUGUGAGUUCUUAUUAA
rnacentral:rRNA from 1 species